rnacentral:lncRNA from 1 species
GGACAUCUACCAACUCACACAAAUCACCAUUUCAUGAAUUUAACUUAAACUUUUAUCAUUUUCACUAAUAAGUCCCCAAAUGACAAUUUCAUCAAAAAUCCCUUUACAAAACUUGUUUAUUUAACAACAAGAACUCAUAAUCUUCCAUCAAACAUAAAAAAUCAUGCAAGAACAUCCAUGGAAAAACCCUAACUCUUUAACAGUUUUGUAAAUUGACCCUUGG